rnacentral:tRNA from 2 species
GGUCUCGUAGUUCAACGGAUAGAAUAGAAGUUUCCUAAACUUUUGAUCUGGGUUCGAUUCCCGGCGAGACCA